rnacentral:lncRNA from 1 species
GGGAAUAAGACCUCAAUGAAACAUCCAAGUCGCCCAUCAUUAUAGUCUCUGAGGUGCGGUGCAAGAUAGUAGCAUCCAUGUCCCAGAAGAUGCAGGACCAAAACUAGAAAGUUGGAUCAAUCCAAAACAAGCCCCUACUUCAAAAUCAUGUCGAAGCCGGAACUAUGUCUGUCUUUAAGAGUUAAGAAAAAUAAUGUAGGGACAAGCAGAGAGACUCAAAAGAUAUAGCAUCGAAAUUAAUAAUAGAUCAUCAAUCAUCCAAUGCAAGAUCUUGAUCAUAGUCUCGCAAGGCAACCAGCAAUAGGAAAGAAAGACUCAGUGUAGACUUCUAGAAGCAAAUGGGA